UAGGGAAUCUUCCGCAAUGGGCGAAAGCCUGACGGAGCAACGCCGCGUGAGUGAUGAAGGUCUUCGGAUCGUAAAACUCUGUUAUUAGGGAAGAACAAAUGUGUAAGUAACUAUGCACGUCUUGACGGUACCUAAUCAGAAAGCCACGGCUAACUACGUGCCAGCAGCCGCGGUAAUACGUAGGUGGCAAGCGUUAUCCGGAAUUAUUGGGCGUAAAGCGCGCGUAGGCGGUUUUUUAAGUCUGAUGUGAAAGCCCACGGCUCAUCCGUGGAGGGUCAUUGGAAACUGGAAAACUUGAGUGCAGAAGAGGAAAGUGGAAUUCCAUGUGUAGCGGUGAAAUGCGCAGAGAUAUGGAGGGACACCAGUGGCGAAGGCGACUUUCUGGUCUGUAACUGACGCUGAUGUGCGAAAGCGUGGGGAUCAAACAGG
rnacentral:rRNA from 1 species